CAUGCAAGUCGAGUGAGAAGCUAACUUCGGUUAGUGGAAAGCGGCGCACGGGUGAGUAACGCGUGGGAAUUUACCUUUUGGUGGGGGACAACAGUUGGAAACGACUGCUAAUACCGCAUAUACCCUACGGGGGAAAGAUUUAUCGCCAAAAGAUGGGCCCGCGUUAGAUUAGGUAGUUGGUAGGGUCAAAGCCUACCAAGCCUACGAUCUAUAGCUGGUUUGAGAGAACGAUCAGCCACACUGGAACUGAGACACGGUCCAGACUCCUACGGGAGGCAGCAGUGGGGAAUCUUGCACAAUGGGCGAAAGCCUGAUGCAGCCAUGCCGCGUGAGUGAGAAGGCCUUCGGGUUGUAAAACUCUUUUAGAUGUGAAGAUGAUGACGGUAACAUCAGAAAAAGCCCCGGCUAACUUCGUGCCAGCAGCCGCGGUAAUACGAAGGGGGCUAGCGUUGUUCGGAAUUACUGGGCGUAAAGAGCGUGUAGGCGGCUAGAUAAGUUAGGGGUGAAAUCCCGGAGCUCAACUUCGGAAUUGCCUUUGAUACUGUCUAGCUUGAGAUUGCGAGGGGAUAGCGGAAUACCCAGUGUAGAGGUGAAAUUCGU
rnacentral:rRNA from 1 species